rnacentral:tRNA from 1 species
UAUCCCGGUAGCUCAAGUAGAAGAGCGCCGCUCUUACAAAGCGGAGGCUGGCGGUGCGAUUCCGCCCCGGGUGACCA